UUCAAGGAGGAGAAAGGAUGUUAAAACAACAUGCUAACGUAAUCCCUAGCGGCCUUCCUACACUUCUGGAGGGUUUUUCUAGAGCAGCACUAAAGAAAAGGCCGAGUAACCUCGGAUCCUUUGCCUGGUACUACUUCACGGAACUGAUCAAAUACAAAACAGAAAAUGAAUCAUUUGACCUUAAAAAACUUGUGCGAGAGUUCCACAAGCAUAUGGCUGAUCGGAUAAGUGGGGAUGGGUUUGAAGAGGAGCUGAAGAAAGAGGGGUAUAAGGUCACCUCGAAUGUUAACCACGAUUACAAUGAACUCUGUAUCACAGGAGAAGUAGACUUGUUUUCAUGGGGCCAUCAGUGUGAUGACACUAACAAUAUGCAAGGAGCAAAACCAAAUGUACAAGCUAAUUAUAAUCCUCUUGACAAGAGUAAUUAUCCUGGAGAGGCUGCUGGAGACACCAAUUAUAUAGUGCACCCAGAGGGCAAUCAGAAACCUAGAGCUGAGAGACACACAUGUCCUUCUGAGCCAUUCAAAAUGACUGAAAGACCAGAUGCCAGUGUCCAGUCUAAAAUGCAGAAUGAUGUGUCAAUUAAAAAGCCCAACCAGUGUGCUCAAGUGAAAAUCCAAAUGGAACCAGUCCCAUCUUACCCCAAAAGGUCUCAGUCAGUGACCAAUGCAACUGAUUUAAGAACAAGACCUACAGAGACUUUAAAACAGGCUCAACGUCCUGGAACAAAAGGCACCACCACCACAGCUUGUGUCCACCCACUCAAAGAUACCCCCAGGAAUCAAAUAAACGCAACCAAUGUAAAUGAGGAAUUGAAACUUUCAGCAUGUACCGUAACAACUGCUGCCCAGAAGAACAAUCCAGCUGCUGCCACGAGAGGUUAGCGUUAGUUCAUGAGAAGAAUGAUUGCGUUUAUCAUGUUCCCGCAAUGUGGGUGUGUACAAUGAGCAAAACAGACAUAGUUAGAUAUUUGUUUACAUGGAUAAUAUGCAUAUGUAUAUUUUUUUUCUCAGAGGCUAUCACAGAACAACACUCCUUUGAGCUCAGGGAAAGUUCUUUAGGCCCCAGCAACAGCACCACAGAUGACAGAAAGAGGUGGGCUCUCCAUGUCAACAGAGAUGGGAACAACUGUCCCCCUCCCCCUUUCAGUGCACAGUCUCAGCCGCAGCAGCAGCAUCAACCUCAGACUGGCCGGUCCGGAAUACCCUGGGGCCAGCAACCUGGGGCCCUCUAUUACCACCCUCACCCUCACCCUCACCCUCCCUACGGGCCUCCCAGUGAGCCCUACGGGUGGUAUCCCCCAGGACACACAUGGUUCUCCCCUCCACCCUCUUUACCCCCUUACCCUUUGUGGCCCCCUCCAGGGCCUUGUCUAUA